UAUGGUGGUUUUGCCAAGGGUGUUCACCUCUUCCCAUUCCGAACAGAGAAGUUAAGCCCCUUAUGGCCGAUGGUACUGCACUAUCAUGCGGGAGAGUAGGUAGCUGCCAUAU
rnacentral:rRNA from 3 species